rnacentral:rRNA from 1 species
GGAUGAACGCUAGCGGCAGGCCUAACACAUGCAAGUCGAGGGGUAGAAAUAGCUUGCUAUUUUGAGACCGGCGCACGGGUGCGUAACGCGUAUGCAAUCUACCUUUUACUAAGGGAUAGCCCGGAGAAAUCCGGAUUAAUACCUUAUAGUUUAUUUGGUUGGCAUCAAUCGGAUAAUAAAGAUUUAUUGGUAAAAGAUGAGCAUGCGUCCCAUUAGUUAGUUGGUGUGGUAACGGCAUACCAAGACGAUGAUGGGUAGGGGUCCUGAGAGGGAGAUCCCCCACACUGGUACUGAGACACGGACCAGACUCCUACGGGAGGCAGCAGUGAGGAAUAUUGGUCAAUGGACGCAAGUCUGAACCAGCCAUGCCGCGUGCAGGACGACGGUCCUAUGGAUUGUAAACUGCUUUUAUACGGGAAGAAACACCUCUACGAGUAGAGACUUGACGGUACCGUAAGAAUAAGGAUCGGCUAACUCCGUGCCAGCAGCCGCGGUAAUACGGAGGAUUCGAGCGUUAUCCGGAAUCAUUGGGUUUAAAGGGUUCGUAGGCGGCCUUAUAAGUCAGCGGUGAAAGUUUUUGGCUUAACCAAAAAAAUUGCCGUUGAUACUGUAGGGCUUGAAUAAUUUUGAAGUAACUAGAAUAUGUAGUGUAGCGGUGAAAUGCAUAGAUAUUACAUGGAAUACCAAUUGCGAAGGCAGGUUACUAAGAAUAUAUUGACGCUGAUGGACGAAAGCGUGGGUAGCGAACAGGAUUAGAUACCCUGGUAGUCCACGCCGUAAACGAUGGAUACUAGCUGUUUGGAUUUGGGUUCUGAGUGGCUAAGCGAAAGUGAUAAGUAUCCCACCUGGGGAGUACGUUCGCAAGAAUGAAACUCAAAGGAAUUGACGGGGGCCCGCACAAGCGGUGGAGCAUGUGGUUUAAUUCGAUGAUACGCGAGGAACCUUACCAGGGCUUAAAUGUGUUUUGACGUUAUUGGAAACAGUAAUUUCUUCGGACAAAAUACAAGGUGCUGCAUGGUUGUCGUCAGCUCGUGCCGUGAGGUGUCAGGUUAAGUCCUAUAACGAGCGCAACCCCUGUUGUUAGUUGCCAGCGAGUAAUGUCGGGAACUCUAGCAAGACUGCCGGUGUAAACCGCGAGGAAGGUGGGGAUGACGUCAAAUCAUCACGGCCCUUACGUCCUGGGCCACACACGUGCUACAAUGGCCGGUACAGAGAGCAGCCACUUGGCGACAAGGAGCGAAUCUACAAAACCGGUCACAGUUCGGAUCGGAGUCUGCAACUCGACUCCGUGAAGCUGGAAUCGCUAGUAAUCGGAUAUCAGCCAUGAUCCGGUGAAUACGUUCCCGGGCCUUGUACUCACCGC